rnacentral:rRNA from 1 species
GACGAACGCUGGCGGCGUGCUUAACACAUGCAAGUCGAACGAAGUGGCGCACGGGUGAGUAACGCAUAAUCAACCUGCCCUUCCGAGGGGGACAACAGUUGGAAACGACUGCUAAUACCGCAUACUGAAGGAGGGUAUUUCGUUGGAUUAGCUAGUUGGCGGGGUAACGGCCCACCAAGGCGAUGCUCAGUAGCCGGGCUUAGAGGGUGAACGGCCACAAUGGGACGGAGACACGGCCCAGACUCCGACGGGAGGCAGCAGUGGGGAAUCUUCGGCAAUGGACGAAAGUCUGACGGAGCAACGCCGCGUGAGUGAUGACGGCCUUCGGGUUGUAAAGCUCUGUUAAUCGGGACGCGGUACCGGAAUAGAAAGCCACGGCUAACUACGUGCCAGCAGCCGCGGUAAUAC